rnacentral:lncRNA from 1 species
CACCUGCUCUCGGGGGCCGCCUCCCCCGAAGCAGCGCCCCACGCAGUCCCUCCCGGCUGCCAAAUGGGCUACUCCUCUCCUCUGAGCCCGAGCUUCUGAAAGAAAACAAAGUUACUGAAAACUCAGACUUUACAGAAAUGCACAAAUUAGAAUGGAAGGAAUCACCAAAGCCCCACCUCCAGAUAAACUUGUACAGACGCCAAUCUGAAAUCCUGCACUCAGCUUCUGGCUCCUCUUUGACUCCAGAGAGAGGCGUUGCCAUUUCCAGGUGGAAGUACCCUUUUUCUCCUGGUUCGGGUGCAACGUGUUCAAGAAAGUCUCGGGUCCUGUUUCUUCUCCCGAUGCCCUGCUGGCUGGGCGGUCUUAGCCCCUCUCCUGGGAGCUCCUGGAUCGUGUGCCGGGCUCCGCUGUUGAGACCCAAGGACAGAGUGGGCUCAUCCCACUAGAACGACCGCAAAGAAGAACACUCCUUCCCUGCAUCGGCGGCUUCGUGUCACAGGUGGGUCCCUCUCUGGCCAGGUUGCCGUGUUCUCCUUCCCAACACCAGCCUCCAAAAGUAAACCGGGGGGUGGGGGGGCAGUGUCUUUGGGAAAAUCUUCUGUGACACCGACGGCGCCCUUUCAGGGGGCUUCAAACGGAAGAGGAGGAGGAGCCCACGCACAUACACGCAGGUGCACCACACGCACGCACACGCAUGCACACAGACGCCAGACUCUUCCAGCCGGAGCUACAGGACUUUGCGGACCUGGGCACGCAGCCCAUCCCUCUGCCCGUCCCUCUUUCCUCGGCCAGCAAGUCCCUGCAGGGCUGCACCUCUGUGGACGACAGUGGCCACCCAAGCCAGGUCCUAGCUCUGUCCUGCGUCCCAGCCUUCUUAUUUUCAGUCUCAUUGCGCCUUCCAGAAGGAACGUCCAUACGCUCCGGCCCUGACGGAACUCUCGGACAUCCAGCCCUUGUUUGAGCCCCGCUCAGGACAGGUGAGGCCCCCGCCACCAGGCAGCACUCCGGGCCUUCCAGCCUUGCAGCCGCUGCGAGCUGCUUCCUUCGAGAGUUUCUGAGCAGGUGUUGUGAAAAUAAUGAUUAUGUGGUUUGGCAGAUUCGAUCUCUGCAGCUAAUUGUUGACACUGAGUUUGUAUUACCCAAUACUUUGGGGUGGGGGACAAAAUAAUGCUAUUUUCUAGCCAGUAAGCCAGCAACUAUGUGUAAAGUCUUCGUCCUCUGGGUGGGGCAUAUGUUUUUCCAAGAAUCAAUUUUAAAAACAGGAUUGGCAGGUGCUGGCCACCUCCAACGAGCUCAAAAUGCAGAUCAAAACAACUGCAGGGCCAGCCUAGUCAGGCACUGACCUGGGCAGCCGUCCCUGAGCCCUGGUGGGGUGUCUAUGUCCGGUGGGCAGUUGAGAUGAAAGAGGGGUCCCCACCCUGCGACAGGCCCUGACCCUCCGACCCG